UCGUCAUUACCACAUUGAAAACACCGAUUCUCGUCCGAUCACCGAAAUUAAGCAAUUUCAGGCCCGGUCAGUACUUGGGAGGGUGACCACUUGCGAACACUGGACUGUACCUUUUCU